UGACGGAGCAACGCCGCGUGAGUGAUGAAGGUUUUCGGAUCGUAAAGCUCUGUGUUAGGGAAGAACAAGUACCGUUCGAAUAGGGCGGUACCUUGACGGUACCUAACCAGAAAGCCACGGCUAACUACGUGCCAGCAGCCGCGGUAAUACGUAGGUGGCAAGCGUUGUCCGGAAUUAUUGGGCGUAAAGCGCGCGCAGGUGGUCCUUAAGUCUGAUGUGAAAGCCCACGGCUCAACCGUGGAGGGUCAUUGGAAACUGGGGAACUUGAGUGCAGAAGAGGAAAGUGGAAUUCCAAGUGUAGCGGUGAAAUGCGUAGAUAUUUGGAGGAACACCAGUGGCGAAGGCGACUUUCUGGUCUGUAACUGACACUGAGGCGCGAAAGCGUGGGGAGCAAACAGGAUUAGAUACCCUGGUAGUCCACGCCGUAAACGAUGAGUGCUAAGUGUUAGGGGGUUUCCGCCCCUUAGUGCUGCAGCUAACGCAUUAAGCACUCCGCCUGGGGAGUACGGUCGCAAGACUG
rnacentral:rRNA from 1 species